rnacentral:rRNA from 1 species
UACGUAGGGUGCGAGCGUUAAUCGGAAUUACUGGGCGUAAAGCGUGCGCAAGCGGUUUUGUAAGCCAGAUGUGAAAUCCCCGGGCUCAACCUGGGAAUGGCAUUUGGGACUGCAAGGCUGGAGUUUGGCAGAGGAGACUGGAAUUCCUGGUGUAGCAGUGAAAUGCGUAGAUAUCAGGAGGAACACCGAUGGCGAAGGCAGGUCUCUGGGCUGAAACUGACGCUCAAGCACGAAAGCGUGGGGAGCAAACAGG